rnacentral:rRNA from 1 species
AUUGAACGCUGGCGGCAGGCUUAACACAUGCAAGUCGAGCGGGGGAAGGUAGCUUGCUACUGGACCUAGCGGCGGACGGGUGAGAAUGCUUAGGAAUCUGCCUAUUAGUGGGGGACAACAUCUCGAAAGGGAUGCUAAUACCGCAUACGUCCUACGGGAGAAAGCAGGGGAUCUUCGGACCUGGCGCUAAUAGAUGAGCCUAAGUCGGAUUAGCUAGUUGGUGGGGAAAAGGCCUACCAAGGCGACGAUCUGUAGCGGGUCUGAGAGGAUGAUCCGCCACACUGGGACUGAGACACGGCCCAGACUCCUACGGGAGGCAGCAGUGGGGAAUAUUGGACAAUGGGGGGAACCCUGAUCCAGCCAUGCCGCGUGUGUGAAGAAGGCCUUAUGGUUGUAAAGCACUUUAAGCGAGGAGGAGGCUACUCUAGUUAAUACCUAGGGAUAGUGGACGUUACUCGCAGAAUAAGCACCGGCUAACUCUGUGCCAGCCGCCGCGGUAA